rnacentral:lncRNA from 13 species
AUGGAUGAAGAGUGCCUGGAACCCAUCAGGAUUCCUCUUCCCCUCCCCCUCUCCAGUGCCAAAUGGGUCACUUGCACAGUGCAAGGCUUUCUCUCCACAGGGCUCAGCGUGAUACCUCCGUCUGCUGUUGGCAAAGCUUUAAGACUGCUGGGAACUCAGACGAAAGCAUCCUCAGGCUUGGAGAGCUGGACUAAACUGGUCUAACUAGGACACUUGAAGGCUUGUGAAUCAGUUCACAUGAUCAGUGAGAAAGCGGGUAUGAAGAUCCAGAUGCUGGUAUGGACGUGUGCGUGUAAGCGCCCACAGAGGGCACAGAUUAAUUACACUGCUUGUUUGUUGAUGCUGACCAGAAUUUUCAAUCCCCUGAUGCUAUGCUUGGAAC